rnacentral:tmRNA from 1 species
GGGGCUGACAGGUAUUGACGGGAGGUCAUGUCGGUAAACUUGCAUGCAGUGGGUGUACAUAGCACUUUAAUCCAUGUACAACAAACAAUAACUGGCGAAGAAUCUUUCGCUAUGGCUGCUUAAUCUAAGAGAUUAACCACCAUUUUCUCCUCGCUUGAGGCUACUUACACAGCGAGCUAGAAAUCAAAAACUAGUGGCUUAUUUGAAAGGUGCUUCAUUCACAUCUUUUGAAGACAUUUUCGAAUGCACGGAAUAGUGUGGUGGGUUUCUUAACACGCAUUAUUCUCGGCAAUUAAUAAGGAACUAAGCAUGUAGUAGGUCUAUCUUCAUCUUGUCCGGACGCGGGUUCAAAUCCCGCCAGCUCCACUU